UACGUAAGGAGUACGCCGGUGACAAACCGGAGGAAGGUGGGGAUGACGUCAAGUCAUCAUGGCCCUUACGGCCUGGGCUACACACGUGCUACAAUGGUCGGUACAAAGGGUUGCCAAGCCGCGAGGUGGAGCUAAUCCCAUAAAACCGAUCGUAGUCCGGAUCGCAGUCUGCAACUCGACUGCGUGAAGUCGGAAUCGCUAGUAAUCGUGAAUCAGAAUGUCACGGUGAAUACGUUCCCGGGCCUU
rnacentral:rRNA from 1 species